ACCGCGGGCUCCGUGGGCUGCGGGGUCGGCCUCCCCCGGGGCGGUCGGCGCCGGAGUUAACAGGAAGCAGCCUCCCGUGAACAUGGCGUUUCAGACGUCCGUCUGGCUUAGAGUCACUGAUCCUCGAUCCCAGUUCCCGCUGCUCAGGCCCUGCCGAGCCUCGGCCCCGAGAAGCCGUGCCUGCUUGCUGGUCAGCGUGGUCCUUCCUGAGAGCAGCGGCAGGUUCUGGGAAGCUCACAUGAUAUACAUGCAUGUAGGUUAUAAAUACAAGAAAGUAAUCCUGAAAACAUUAGAAAAUACACACCAGCCAAAAAGAAAAGCAAAGCAAAGAAGAGAAAAAAGAAAGAAUGAAAGAGAGAAAAGAGAACCAAAGGUAACCACUAUUACCACUAUUAGGAAUUUAGUAGUCAUUCAUUGCAAUCUUUGUUUCCAGGAAUAACAUUGUAUUUGUGUGUGUGUGUGUGUGUGUGUGUGUAUGUGCAAUAUUUUAUAUAUGUAAUUAUUAUUUAAAGCAAAAAGGGCUCAUUCAUAUAUUGUUUGCAACCUGUUUUCUUCAUUUAAUUUUAUAGUAAGUAUAUUUUCCCAAGUCCCUGAACCCAGAUUCACAUUGAAAAAAAGU